UGGCUCAGAACGAACGCUGGCGGCAGGCUUAACACAUGCAAGUCGAACGCCUGUAGCAAUACAGGAGUGGCAGACGGGUGAGUAACGCGUGGGAACGUGCCCUUCGGUUCGGAAUAACCCAGGGAAACUUGGGCUAAUACCGGAUACGUCCGCAAGGAGAAAGAUUUAUCGCCGAUGGAGCGGCCCGCGUCCGAUUAGCUAGUUGGUGAGGUAAUGACUCACCAAGGCGACGGUCAGUAGCUGGUCUGAGAGGAUGACCAGCCACACUGGGACU
rnacentral:rRNA from 1 species